GGGUCAGUAGGUUGGUCGUGCCACCGGUACGUACUGGUCUCACUGAUCGCACCUUCCUGAAGAACCGUAAUGCCAUUAAUUUGGUGUUGCGGGGAAACAGGACUGUUACUUUGAAAAAAUUAGAGUGUUUAAAGCAAGCUAACGCUUGAAUACAUUAGCAUGGGAUAAUGAAAUAGGACGAUCGAUCCUAUUUUGUUGGUUUCUAGGAUUGACGUA
rnacentral:rRNA from 1 species